AGGGCGGGUGGCAGCAGUGGGGAAUAUUGGACAAUGGGCGAAAGCCUGAUCCAGCCAUGCCGCGUGUGUGAAGAAGGCCUUCGGGUUGUAAAGCACUUUCAGUGGGGAAGAAAGCCUUGGGGCUAAUACCCUCGAGGAAGGACAUCACCCACAGAAGAAGCACCGGCUAACUCCGUGCCAGCAGCCGCGGUAAUACGGAGGGUGCGAGCGUUAAUCGGAAUUACUGGGCGUAAAGCGCGCGUAGGCGGUCUGAUAAGCCGGUUGUGAAAGCCCCGGGCUCAACCUGGGAACGGCAUCCGGAACUGUCAGGCUAGAGUGCAGGAGAGGAAGGUAGAAUUCCCGGUGUAGCGGUGAAAUGCGUAGAGAUCGGGAGGAAUACCAGUGGCGAAGGCGGCCUUCUGGACUGACACUGACGCUGAGGUGCGAAAGCGUGGGUAGCAAACAGGAUUAGAUACCCCUGUAGUC
rnacentral:rRNA from 1 species